UACGUAGGGUGCAAGCGUUGUCCGGAAUUAUUGGGCGUAAAGAGCGUGUAGGCGGCCGUACAGGUCAGCUGUGAAAACUCGAGGCUCAACCUCGAGACGUCGGUUGAAACCGUACGGCUAGAGUCCGGAAGAGGAGAGUGGAAUUCCCGGUGUAGCGGUGAAAUGCGCAGAUAUCGGGAAGAACACCCGUGGCGAAGGCGGCUCUCUGGGACGGUACUGACACUGAGGCACGAAAGCGUGGGGAGCAAACAGG
rnacentral:rRNA from 1 species